rnacentral:rRNA from 1 species
UACGGGGUGGGCGAGCGUUGCCCGGAAUUACUGGGUUUAAAGGGGGUGUAGGCGGUCCGGAGAGUCAGGUGUGUAAUCCAACCGCUCAACGGUUGGGCUGCACCUGAUACUGUCUGGCUUGAGGGCCGGAGAGGCUGGCGGAAUUCCCGGUGUAGGGGUGAAAUCCGUAGAUAUCGGGAGGAACACCGGUGGGGAAGCCUGCCAGCUGGACGGAUCCUGACGCUGAGGCACGAAAGCGUGGGGAGCAAACCGG